CGCGUGUCUGGCUCGUGUGGUUCUUUCCUUCUGGAUAACCGUGGCCCUUCACUGGGCUUGCCGGGUAACCUUGACUUUUACUCGUAUUUAUCCUUUUACUUAAAAAAGGCCUAUGCUCUCAUACCUUGCCAUGGAAUAAUACAAUAAGACUUGUGGUUCUAUUUUGUUGGUUUCUACUACCGCUUCUAUGAUAUUGGUGGACAGUCAGGGGCAUCAAUAUUCUUCUGUCAUAUGUGAAAUUCUUGAAUUUAUUGAAUACUUGGGGGUGUUUAUAUUUUUGCCAAGGAUGUUUUCAUUAAUCAAGAACGAAAGUUAGGGGAUCGAAGACGAUCAGAUACCGUCGUAGUCUUAACCAUAAACUAUGCCGAUUAGGGAUCGGAAGGCGUUAAGGGCACACCAGGAGGCGAGCUUCGAUAAAUAUUUGACUCAACACUGGGAAACUCAGUAAGGUCCCAAGAUAGAAAGGAAAAGAAAAUGAAGAAAUGGCUCCACCAGGGGUGGAGCGUGGUGCAUAAUUUGUCUCAACAGGGGGAAACUUACCAGGUCCAGACUCGGAGAGGAUUGGCGGACUCAGCGCUCUAUCUAGUGGUACAGGAGGUGGAGCAUGGCCGUUCUUAGUUGGUGGAAUGAUGGAUUGGAUGGAAAGUGAAGUUUCAUGAGUCCAAAACAUGGGAAUCAGCCAGUAUUACUUAGUCAGUACGCCGGCUUCAGAAGACUAAUCAC
rnacentral:rRNA from 1 species